rnacentral:rRNA from 1 species
CGCGAAGAACCUUACCAAGGCUUGACAUACACCGGAAACCUCUGGAGACAGGGGCCCCCUUGUGGUCGGUGUACAGGUGGUGCAUGGCUGUCGUCAGCUCGUGUCGUGAGAUGUUGGGUUAAGUCCCGCAACGAGCGCAACCCUUGUUCUGUGUUGCCAGCAUGCCUUUCGGGGUGAUGGGGACUCACAGGAGACUGCCGGGGUCAACUCGGAGGAAGGUGGGGACGACGUCAAGUCAUCAUGCCCCUUAUGUCUUGGGCUGCACACGUGCUACAAUGGCCGGUACAAUGAGCUGCGAAGCCGUGAGGUGGAGCGAAUCUCAAAAAGCCGGUCUCAGUUCGGAUUGGGGUCUGCAACUCGACCCCAUGAAG